UACGGGGGGGGCAAGCGUUGUUCGGAAUUACUGGGCGUAAAGGGCUCGUAGGCGGCCAACUAAGUCGGACGUGAAAUCCCCAGGCUCAACCUGGGAACUGCGUCCGAUACUGGAUGGCUUGAAUUCGGGAGAGGGAUGUGGAAUUCCAGGUGUAGCGGUGAAAUGCGUAGAUAUCUGGAGGAACACCGGUGGCGAAGGCGGCAUCCUGGACCGAGAUUGACGCUGAGGCGCGAAAGCUAGGGGAGCAAACGGG
rnacentral:rRNA from 1 species